rnacentral:lncRNA from 1 species
UGCCACUUACAAUACCCCGUCGCGUAUUUAAGUCGUCUGCAAAAGAUUCUACCCGCCGCUCAAUAGGAAUUGGGUUUCAAGGUGUCCCACAAGGCUCAUCCGCAUUAUGAGGUCCACCAACGACACAUGCCUCUGGGUGCCAAGGCCCCCUAUUGCUGGUCGGCAAGCGAACGACGGGAACAUGCAUCGCUUCUAGCCCGAAUUCUGACUUAGAGGCGUUCAGUCAUAAUCCAACACACGGUAGCUUCGCGCCAUUGGCUUUUCAACCAAGCGUGAUGACUAAUUGUGCGAAUCAACGCUUCCUCUCGUACUAGGUUGAAUUACUAUUGCGACACUGUUAUCAAUAGGGUAAAACUAACCUGUCUAACGAAGGUCUAAACCCAGCUCACGUUCCCUACUGGUGGGUGAACAAUCCAAUACUUGGUGAAUUCUGCUUCACAAUAAUAGGAAGAGCCGACAUCGAAGGAUCAAAAAGCAACAUCGCUAUGAACGCUUGGCUGCCACAAGCCAGUUAUCCAUGUGGUAACUUUUCUGACACCUCUAGCUUCAAAUUCCAAAGGACUAAAGGAUCGAUAGGCCACGCUUUCACGGUUCGUAUUCGUACUGGAAAUCAGAAUCAAACGAGCUUUUACCCUUUUGUUCCACACGAGAUUUCUGUUCUCGAUGAGCUUAUCUUAGGACACCUACGUUAACUUUUAACAGAUGUGCCGCCCCAGCCAAACUGCCCACCUGACAAUGUCUUCCGCCUGGAUUGGCCAACCAAAGUCAGCCUUGGAUCCAAAAAGAGGGGCAGUGGUAUUUCAUGACGCGCGCCAUGACCUGUUCGCUAAAAUAACGUUAAAAGUAGUGGUAUUUCAUGUUCGCUGUUUCAAGCUCCCACAUAUCCUACACCUCUCAAGUCAUUUCACAAAGUCGGACUACAAUCUAGCUCUACAGGGUCUUCUUUCCCCGACUAAUUAAGGCCAGGAGUGCAUCGCUGGAAGAAGGGACGAGCCAACCGGUGCACACCAGAGGCGGGCCGAUCGACCCAACCCAAGGUCCAAAUACGAGCUUUUUAACUGCAACAACUUACCAAUUACCAGACUCAAUGAGCCCGGUAUUAUUAUUUAUUGUCACUACCUCCCUGUGUUAGGAUUUGGUAAUUUGCGCGCCUGCUGCCUUCCUUGGAUGUGGUAGCUGUUUCUCAGGCUCCCUCUUCGAAAUCGAACCGUAAUUCUUCGUCACCCAUCACCACCAUGGUAGGCCACUAUCCUACCAUCGAAAGUUGAUAGGGCAGAAAUUUGAAUGAUGCGUCGCCAGCACAAGGGUUGUGUGAUCCGACGAGUUAUCAUGAAUCAUCAAAGCCACAAGCAGAGCCUGCGUCGACCUUUUAUCUAAUAAAUGCAUCCCUUCCAGAAGUCGGGGUUUGUUGCACUUAUUAGCUCCAAAAUUACUACGGUUACCCGAGUUGUAGAUGCCAUCAAACAAACUAUAACUGAUUUAAUGAGCCAUUCGCAGUUUCACAGUCUGAAUUAGUUCAUACUUACACAUGCAUGGCUUAAUCUUUGAGACAAGCAUAUGACUACUGGCAGGAUCAACCAGGUAGCAUCCAUUAAUGACUCUGCCAUAAUGCAAGCUUUGCGCCCACGAAAGGCAAUCAAAAACGUGCAGAACAGCAGGCAUAAUUUAAGGCAACCAUAAUUUAGGGACAAUGUGAAAAACACAAAAGUUCAUCUCAAGCACCGCGUCCGAAGAUUCAGUCAAUACAAGGGCACCUCCCUAGACAUACGAGUACAUCUAGAAAGGGCACAUACGUAAAACUACAAAAUCCACCACAAGACCGUGCAACGGCAGAGGAUAGAUCAAGCCUAACAAGCCACACUGAUACCGUUUUAAAGGUAAGAAAAACAGGAACCACAUACAAACACCAAGGGCAUACAACAAAAACUGACAAGGAUUACAUGCAAAUCGUUCAAUGCAAAAGCACAAAGCUGACAAACACAAAUAUCCAAAGCACAUCUCACACGCCAACGCGUCAGCAAGACCCAACAUCACCGAACGCACCAUGCCCAAUAAUGAAAAUCACUGCAAGCACAUGAAGUCGUCCAACAUUGUCGGCUUUGCAUCGCUAAGCAUGACAAAUUAAAUCUAAGGGACAAAACCUGAGGGACGAGUGCUUCGGAGUCGGGACAACUGCAUCGGGGUGUGACUCAUGGAACAACUAAAUCCAAUGGUUAACUUUAAUCUAGGACCAAAUGAAGGACCAAUAAGAAACCCAACGUAUUUGAAAGCUCAAUGUAGUCACUCUCCGAAGCCAACCAAUUCCGAGAUUAGCCCACCACCCAUGAAUCAUUAUGUCGCUGUUUGUGAAGACUGGAGCAAGCACAGGUAUGAUCCAUGGAUCCCAACACCAUCUUGGUUGACAUUGGUGAAGGGGCCCUAAUACCUCGAGAGCAUAGGAAAUAGAUUACCACAACUCGGACAACAUCUACCCGUGAGAUGCCAAUUCCUGGUGACUCGUGAUUGGUGACUGAGUGCUGGCCAGCCAGCCUGCUUGGUGACUAGGUGAUUGAGUUUUGGCCAACCAGCCUGCCUGGUGACUAGGUGACUGAGUGUUGGCCUUGUGACUGACUGGUCUUUGUUACUAGGAAGGGGCGUCAACUAGCAAGCCAACAAAUCCAAUUGAAAAAAUUGAUUUCUUUGCUACACCCCUCAACUAGCAAAAAAACACAUGCGUGCGCGCCAUGACCUCAUCUUAGUCAUAGUCGUAAUCGUCGCGCACGCGUCUUGAUUUACCCAUAUCCGAUUGAAAAAAUUGAUUUCAUUGCUUCGGCUCUCAACUAGCAAGCCAACACACGCGCGUACACCCCGUCCACUUCUUAGUCAUAGUCGAGUCGCCGCACGCGCGUCUUGAUUUACCCACAUCCGAUUGAAAAAAUUGAUUUCAUUGCUACCCCCCUCAACUAGCAAGCCAACACACGCGCGCGCGCCACGUCCACGUCUUAGUUGUAGUCGUAGUCGUCGUGCGCGUGUCUUGAGUUACCCACAUCCGAUUGAAAAAUUUGGAUUUCGUUGCUCCGCCCCAAAUCUAGCAAGCCAACAUGCGCUCUGGCCCCGUCCACGCCUACUUAGUAUUCGUGGUUGUAGUACUCACGCGCGUGAUGGUUUUCCACAUUCGAGCCAAAUUUUUGAAUUUGCUACACCGUCCGUCAAUUGACAAGCCAAAAUUUGCCAUAUCAUAUACAUAUCCUUCCAAUUUUUUUUUGUCCUGUUGCUGGUCUAAAAUCUGGCCCACGCCAGGAGCACACAUACCCUCCCCUAUAUAUGUCUGAAGUGUUUUUUCCAGUUUUGUAGAAAGAUAGCCCUUUUUUUGGCUAUAGGAGGAAAACCACUUUUGAGGGACCUAAACUUCGAAUGUUUUCAUGAAAUUUUGCACGAAUGUUUACCAACACAAUACUAAUAUCCACAAAAAAAUUGGAAUUUUUGACAAACUGUGAUUUUUUAAAAUAAUUUAUAAGGGGCACAUUUUCGAGUGAGGUACCUAGACUUGGAAUUGUUUCUUGAAAUUUUACAAGGACGUUGUCAAUAAUUAAAAAAAACUUCCCACAAAAAAUUGGAAUUUUCUGGAAAGGGAUUAUUUAAUUAUAAUUUUUUAUAGUGCAGAAAAUAUUAAAAAUAUUAAAAAAUAUUUAAAAAUUAAAAUUUUAAUUUUGAGCAAAAUUUAUUAUAGGACUUGCAUCAUAAAACACAUAACAUGGACAUCAAAAAUUUCAUUGAAAACAAAAUUUGGAUUGCGUUACUAAGUGAAUGGUGACCAGUGGUUGGUGAAUCGCGAUUCGUGACUGGUGACUAGUGGCUGGUGAAUCGCGACUCGUGACUGGUGACUCGUGAAUCGUGACUCGGGACUGGUGACUGGUGACUAGUGGCUGGUGAAUCGCGACUAUUGACUGGUGACUGGGGACUGUUGACUGGUGACUAGUGGUUGGUGAAUCGCGACUCGUUACGUGUUACUCGUGACUGGUGACUCGUGAAUCGGGACUCAGGACUGGUGACUGGGUGCAGGCCAGCCAGCCAGCUUGCUUGCCUGGCGACUGGUGACUAAGUGCUGGCCAGCCAGCCAGCCUGGUGACUGAGUGUUGGCCAGCCAGCCAGCUUGGUGACUAGGUGACUGGUGACUCGUGACUGAGUGCUGGAAAGCAAGCCAACUUGGUGACUGGUGAUUCAGUGCUGGCCAGCCAGCCUGUCAGCCUGCCUGGUGACUAGGUGAUUGAGUGCUGGCCAACCAGCCAGCCAGCCUGCCUGGUGACUAGGUGAUUGAGUGUUGGCCUUGUGAUUGAUUGGCCUUUGUGACUAGGUAGGGGCGUCAACUAGCAAGCCAACACAUCCGAUUGAAAAAAUUGAUUUCUUUGCUACGCCCCUCAACUAGGAAGCAAACACACGCGCGCGUGCCACGUCUACGUCUUAGUCGUAGUCAUAGUCUUCGUGCGCGUCUUGAUUUACCCACCUCCGAUUGAAAAAAUAGAUUUCGUUGCUACGCCCCUCAACUAGCAAGCCAACACGCGUGCGCGCCAAGGCCACGUCUUAGUCGUAGUAGAAGUCGCAGCUGUCGCACGCGCGUCUUGAUUUAUCGUCAUCCGAUUGUAAAAAUUGAUUUCGUUGCUACGCCCAUCAACUAGCAAGCAACACAUGCGCGCGCGCCACAUCCACGUCUUAGUCGUAGUCGUUGCGUGUGUGUAUUGAGUUACCUACAUCCGAUUGAAAAAUUUGGAUUUCGUUGCUCCCCCCCACAACUAGCAAGCCAACAUGCGCUCAGGCCCCGUCCACGCCUACUUAGUAGUCGUGGUCGUAGUGCCAGCGCGCGUGAUGAUUUUCCCAUAUGUAUGUCUGAAGCGUUUUUUCCAGUUUUGUAGAAAGAGAGCCCUCUUUUGGCUAUAUGAGGAAAACCACUUUUGAGGAACCUAGACAUCGAAUUUUUUCAUGAAAUUUUGCACGAAUGUUUAUCAACACAAUACUACUUACUCGUGAAUCGCGACUCGUGACUGGUGACUCGUGAAUCACGACUCGGGACUGGUGACUGGAUGACUGAGUGCAGGCCAGCCAGCCUGCCUGCUUGCCUGGUGACUACUUGCGGGCCUGGUUACUGGUGACUGAGUGCUGGAAACCAGCCAGCCAACCUGCUUGCUUGGUGACUAGAGAUUGGGGACUAGGUGCUGGCCAGCCAGCCAACCGGCUUGCCUAGUUACGAAAGACUGGGGAAUGGUGACUGGUGACUGGGUGCUGGCUAGCUAGCCAACCUGCUUGCCUGGUGACUAGGGACUGGUGACUGGUGACAGAGUGCCAGCCAGCAAGCCUGCUUGACUGGUGACUACGUGCUGGCCAGCCAGCCAGCCUUCUUGCCUGUGAGCCUUCCGUAGUCACGUACAGUCAUCGACAGUCUAAGUCAUGCACCGUGACUGACACAUAGUUCGAUUCAAGUGACCCACAAUCCUUCCCUAGUCACAGACGUUGAAUAAGUCUUUUCCAGAAAAUGUCCAUGACUAUUAAGGCUUACGUGCCUUUGAUUUAUUCAAGUGUUUCCACCGCAAGCGUGUAUCAUUGGUACGGUUAUCCUGUGCAUGACCUAGUUCGCGCAUAGGUCGGGACGAAUUGCCUUAGGACGACACGCGCCCAAUCCUUUGAGGGAGGGCAUAGCCCUUGGCGUAUUUUGGUAUUUGCUAAACCCUUAGUGGAACAUGUACAUCAAGGCUACUCGUGGGUGGGGAGGGAUGAAUCGAAGCGACUAGGGCUGAAUCUUAGUGGAUCGUGGCAGCAAGGCCCCUCUACCACUUACAAUAACUUGUCGCUUAUUUAAGUCGACUGCAAAAGAUUCUACCAGCCACUCAAGAGGAAUUGCGUUUCAAGGUAUCCCGUAAGGCUCAUCCGCCUUACGAGGUCCACCAACGACACGUGCCUCUGGGGGGCCGAGGCCCCCUAUUGCUGGUCGGCAAGCGAACGACGGGAACACGCAUCGCUUCUAGCCCGAAUUCUGACUUAGAGGCGUUCAAUCAUAAUCCAACGCACGAUAGUUUUGCGCCACUGGCUUUUCAACCAACCACAAUGACCAAUUGUGCGAAUCAACGGUUCCUCUCAUACUAGGUUGAAUUACUAUUGUGACACUCUCAUCAGUAGGGUAAAACUAACCUAUGUCACGACAGUCUAAACCCAACUCAGGUUCCCUAUUGAUGGGUGAACAAUCCAAAACUUUGUGAAUUCUGCUUCACAAUGAUAGGAAGAGCCGACAUCGAAGGAUAAAAAAGCAACGUCGCUAUGAACGCUUGGCUGCCACAAGCCAGUUAUCCUUGUGGUAACUUUUCUGACACCUCUAGCUUCAAAUUCCGAAGGACUAAAGGAUCGAUAGGCCACGCUUUCACGAUUCGUAUUCGUACUAGAAAUCAAAAUCAAACGAGCUUUUACCCUUUUGUUCCACACGAAAUUUCUGUUCUCGUUGAGCUCAUCUUCAGACACCUGCUUUAUCUUUUAACAGAUGUGCUGCCCCAACCAAACUCCCCACCUAACAAUGUCUUCCGCCCGGAUUGGCCAACCGAAGUCAGCCUUGGAUCCAAAAAGAAGGGCAGCGCCCCGCCUCCGAUUCACGGAAUAAGUAAAAUAACGUUAAAAGUAGUGGUAUUUCACUUUCGCUAUUUCCAGCUCCCACUUAUCCUACACCUCUCAAGUCAUUUCACAAAGUCGGACUAGAGUCAAGCUCAACAUGGUCUUCUUUCCCGGCUGAUUCCGCUAAGCCCAUUCCCUUGGUUGUGGUUUCGCUAGAUAGUAGACAGGGACAUUGGGAAUCUCAUUAGUCCAUUCAUGCGCGUCACUAAUUAGAUGACGAGGCAUUUGGCUACCUUAAGAGAGUCAUAGUUACUCCCAUCGUUUACCCGCGCUUGGUUGAAUUUCUUCACUUUGACAUUCAGAGCAUCGGGCAGAAAUCACAUUGCGUCAACAUCCGUAGGGACCAUCACAAUGCUUUAUUUUAAUUAAACAGUCAGAUACCCCUUGUCCGUACCAGUUCUGAGUUGAUUGUUCGAUGCCCGGGGAAGAGGCUCCGAAGGGCCCCUUCCCAAUCUGUCCCAUGAUCGGCAUGCGGUGACCCGCUCUCGCCGUGGGAGCAGCUCAAGCAGUCCACCAACAGCCGAUAGGUUCAGAACUGGGAACCUCGUGCUCAGCCCUUAGAGCUAAUCCUUUUCACGAGGUUACGGAUCCAUUUUGCCGACUUCCCUUGCCUACAUUGUUCCAUCGACCAGAGGAUGUUCACUUUGGAGACCUGAUGCGGUUAUGAGUACGACCGGGAAUGGAAGGAACUCUGUCCUCUGGAUUUUCAAGGGCCGCCAGGGGCGCACCGAACACCACGCGACGUGCGGUCCUCUUUCAGCCGCUGGACCAUACUUCGGCUGAGCCGUUUCUAGGGUGGGCAGGCUGUUAAACAUAAAAGAUAACUCUUUCUGGGGCCCCCGCCAACGUCUCUAGACUUCCUAUUGUUGCCGUCAGCCACCACGUCUCAGUUCAGGAAUUUUAACCUGAUUUCGUUUCGGUGUACACGCUUAGAGCACUAACAAAUGGGCUUCCCCCGUCCCUUAGGAUCGACUAACCCAUGUGCAAGUGUCGUUCACAUGGAACCUUUCCCCUCUUCGCCCUUCAAAGUUCUCAUUUGAAUAUUUGCUACUACCACCAAGAUCUGAACCGACGACCGCUCCGCCCAAGCUCGCGCCCCACAUUUUGCAGCGACCGCCGCACCCUCCUACUCAUCGGGGCCUGGCCCUUGUCCCAACGACCGGGUAUAGGUCGCGCGCUAUAGCGCUAACCAUUUUCGGGGCUAGUUGAUUCGGCAGGUGGGUUGUUACACACUCCUUAGCGGAUUUCGACUUCCAUGACCACCGUCCUGCUGUCUUAAUCAACCAACUCCCUUUGUGGGGUCUAGGUUAGCGCGCAGUUGGGCACCGUAACCCAGCUUCCGGUUCAUCCAGCAUCGCCAGUUCUGCUUACAAAAAAUUGCCCACUUGGAGCUCUCGAUUCUAUGGCAUGGCUCAACAAAGCAACCACACCGUCCUACCUAUUUAAAGUUUGAGAAUAGGUCGAGGGCAUUGCGCCCCAGAUGCCUCUAAUCAUUGGCUUUACCCGAUCGAACUCACCCUCAGGCUCCAGCUAUCUUGAGGGAAACUUCGGAGGGAACCAGCUACUAGACGGUUCGAUUAGUCUUUCGCCCAUAUACCAAAGUCAGAUGAAUGAUUUGCACGUCAGUAUCGCUGCAACCCUCCGUUAGAGUUUCCUCUGGCUUCGCCCCGCUCAUGUAUAGUUCACUAUCUUUCGGGUCCCGACAUGUAUGUUCUCACUCGAACCCUUCACAGAAGAUCUGGGUCGGUCGGUGGUGCAACCCACAAGAGGAUCCCACCAAUCGGCUUCCUUGCGCCUUACGGGUUUACUCGCCAGUUGACUCGCACACAUGUCAGGGGAUCAAGCAUAGUUCACCAUCUUUCAGGUCCCGACAGGUACGCUCUCACUCGAACCCUUUUAUAGGGACAUUGUCAAUACUUAAAUAACACUUCCCACAAAAAAUUGGAAUUUUCUGAAAUGGGAUUAUUUAAUUAUAUUUUUUUUAAAGUGUAGAAAAUAUAAAAUAUUAUUAAAAAAUAUUUAAAAAAUUAAAAGUUUAAUUUUGAGCAAAAUUUAUUAUGGGACUUGCAUCAUAAAACACACAACAUGGCCAUCAAAAAUUUCAUUGAAAACAAAAUUUGGAUUGCAUUACUAAGUGACUGGUGACUAAUGACUCGUGGAUCGUGACUCGGGACUGGUGACUGGGGAUUGGUGGCUGGGAAUCGCGACUCGUGACUGGUGACUGGAGGCUGGUGAAUCGCGACUCGGGACUAGUGACUGGUGACUAGGGACUCAUGAAUCGCGACUCGAGACUAGUGACUGGUGACUCGUGAAUCGCGUUGCAACACUGGUGACUGGUGAUUGGUUGACUGGGUGAAGGCUAGCCAGCUAGACUGCUUGCCUGGUGACUACGUGCUGGCCUGGUGACAGGUGACUGAGUGCUGGCCAACCAGCCAGCCUAGUGACUGAGUGCUGGCCAACAAGCCAGUGAGCCUGGUGACUAGUGACUAAGUGCUGGCCAGCCAGCCAGCCCGGUCACUGGUGACUGAGUGACGGCGAACAUGCCUAGUGACUAGGUGACUGAGUGCUGGCGAACCAAUCAGCCAGCCUGCCUGGUGACUAGGUGACUGAGUGCUGGCCUUGUGACUGAUUGGCCUUUGUUACUAGGUAGGGGCGUCAACAAGCAAGCCAACACAUCCGAUUGAAAAAAUUGAUUUCGUUGCUAUGCCCCUCAACUAGCAAGCCAACACACGCACGUGCGCCAUGUCCACGUCUUAGUCGUAGUCGUAGUCAUAAACGUUGCACACGCGCCACGUCCACGUCUUAGUCAUAGUCGUCGCGCGCGCGUCUUGAUAUACCCACAUCCGAUUAAAAAAAUUGAUUUCGUUGCUAUGCCCCUAAACUAGAAAGCCAACACACGUGCGCACGCCACGUCCACGUCUUAGUCGUAGUCAUAGUCGUUGUUGUCGCGCGCGCGUCGUCAUUUACCCACAUCCGAUUGAAAAAUUUGGAUUCUGUUGCUUCGCCCCACAACUAGCAACCCACCAUGCGCUCGAAACCCGUCCAAGCCUACUUCGUUGUCGUGGUCGUAGUGCUCGCGCGCGUGAUGGUUUUCACAUUCAAGCCAAAUUUUUCAAUUUGCUACACCGUCUGUCAAUUCACAAGCCAACAUUUGCCUUAUCUUACUCACGUCCUUCCAUUUUUUUUUUUGUCCUGGCGCUGGCCUAAAAUCUGGCCCACGCCAGAAGCACACAUACCCUCCCAUAUAUAUGUCUGAAGUGUUUUUUUUCUAGUUUUGUAGAAAGAGAGCACUUUUUUGGCUAUAGGAGGAAAACCAAUUUUGAGGGACCUAGACUUCGAAUUUUUUCAUGAUAAUUAAAUAACACUUCUUGCAAAAAAUUGGAAUUUUCUGGAAAGGGAUUAUUUAAUUAUAAUUUUUUAAAGUGUAGAAAAUAUUAAAAAUAUUAUUAAAAAAUAUUAAAAAAAUUAAAAAUUUUAUUUUGAGCAAAAUUUAUUAUGGGACUUGCAUCAUAAAACACAUAACAUAGACAUCAAAAUUUUCAUUGAAAACAAAAUUUGGAUUGCGUACUAAGUGACUGGUGACUAGUGACUCGUGAAUCACGAAUCGGGACUGGCGACUGGUGACUAGUGCCUGGUGAAUUGCGACUCGUGACUGGUGACUGAUGACUCGUGAAUCGCGACUCGGGACUGGUGACUGGUGACUAAUGGCUGGUGAAUCGCGACUCGUGGCUGGUGACUAGUGGCUGGUGAAUCGCGACUCGGGACUGGUGACUCAUGAAUCGCGACUGGUGAAUGGGUGGCUGGUGAAUCGCGACUCGUGACUGGUGACUCGUGAAUCAUGACUUGUGAAUCGCGACUCGUGACUGGGUGCAGGCCAUCCAGCCAGCCUGCUUGCCUGGUGACUACGUGCUGGGCUGAUGACUAGUGACUAAGUGCUGGCCAGCCAGCCAGCCUGGUGACUAGGUGACUGGUGACUCAUGACUGGUGACUGAGUGCUGGCCAGCCAGCCAGCUAGCCUGGUGACUGGUGACUGAGUGCUGGCCAGCCAGCCAAUCUGCCUGGUGACUAGGUGAUUGAGUGCUGGCCAGCCAGUCAGCCUGCACUACUAGAAAUUUCGCCUAUAGUGACCAAUUUAGAAACUGAAUAUUUUCAGUCACAAUAUCGACCGAAAUAGAGACCAUAAUUUUGAACUUGGAAACUAAAUAUUAUUUCGUCACUAAAUUGGUCGCUAAUGAAAUUUAGAGGCUGAAAUAGCUACUGAAUGUUAGUGACCAAAAAUUCAGUCGCUAACUAUCACUAAUAGAAAAUUCGCCUUUCACUCUAGCGACUGAAAUAGUGACUGAAAUUUUGAACCUUGAAACUAAAUAUUAUUUCAUCACUAAAUCAGUUGCUAACAAAAUUUAGAGACGAAAUUUAGAGACCGAAAUUUAGAAACUUAGCUACUUAAAUUUUAGUGGAUGAAAAAUCGAUCUCAAUUAUUUAUAUUUUCUUUUAAUUAAAAUUGUCUGAAAUUUUAUUUAUCAUGAUUGAAAUUUUUUAUAGUUCCUUCUCCAAUUUUCAUUAAAAUAAAAUUCCCUCUCUAAUUAAAAAACAAACAAAAAUUAUUUCAAUCAAAAUAACAUUCCUUCUCCAUUUUUUACUAAAAUAAAGUUCCCUCUCUGAAACUCUAUUCACUAUCUAAACUCGUAAUACAAACCCUAAACUCUAAAAAACUCAUUUCAUCCGUUGUCGCACCUCCGUACUCUGAUUCAAAUGCGGCAGAUGGAGAUUUAGAUAGGAAUGAUUCGGGUGCUGAGGACAGGCAUUAUUUUGUUUAAGCUUAAGAUUCAGAUUCAGGCUGGGGAGGAAGUCCUCUCCUAGUUGUAGUUGAAGUGGAUAAUGAUCGAAGGGAGAAAGAAUCGUCUUAAUCAUUUUGAUGUGUCAUCGGCGAUGCGAUUUCAACUCGGAAUCUUCUUUCUACGAGUCGAACGUAGCCUAGAAAGGAGCGCUACAAAGUGGUCGAAAAGCUUUGUGCUGGAACUUGUUUUUCUCCUAUUCCUACUUCACCGUUCCACCACUGCUUCUCCAUUUCGUCACCAUUCCACCACCACUUCUCCAGGGGAAGUAUGAUGUUGUAAUUGUUGAUUCCUCAUAUCCUGUGGGUGAGUCGUUUGUGUUUUGUAGGAGGUACUAUGUGGCUGUUGUUUGGCUCUAUACUAUUGAAUUUAACAAGUUAAAAUCCUCACAUAAAUCUCAUUUGAUUUUGUUUCUUUUAUCAAAAUGGAAAUUGAUUUCUUUUAUUUCUACAGUGGGAAGCCCUUGCUCUCUUGCUCAUUGGUAUAAUUGUUAGUCAAUUACGAUCGACACCCAAGGGAAGUACUACUUUGGGUCUUCCUGUCACAAUGAGUGCAUAUCUCUAUACGUUUAUUUUUGUAAGUGAUGUUUGUUAUUUGUUCGUUAUGUUAAUUGAUUAUUAUUAUUAUUAUGCAAUCAGUGAACUUUUAAUCUAUUAAGAUUUGUUAGAAUUAAGUAAAUCUGUCAAUAUUCCUAGAUUGUACAGCUUGCUAGAUUACUUGUUAGUAUUCAUAGAAUAUUCAACUUCCUAGGUUAGUGUUAAUCAAUUAAGCAUUCAAUGUAUUUUUUAUAUGUUGAUCUAACAUCGGAAUUAUUUUGCAGGUUACUGUUCCAUCAAUGGCCUCUAUUUAUAAUGAGUAUGCUUUGAAGAGCCAAUAUGAUACAAGUUUAUAUCUGCAGGUGAAGUAUACCGAAUUGGAAAAAGAAUCAUAAAUUGACCACAUUUUUAUAAAGACCUAAAAAUGCUUUAAUGAGUUCAAAAUUGUGUUUCUGUAAGGAAUUUGAAUUAUCAUCUCCUUCUAACAUUGGAUAGUCUACUAUGUUAAUUUGUUCUAGUUAGGCCUUUUCAUGUAUUUUGGUCAACACUUUAUUACUGUCCAGUUUGUGUGCACGGGCAUGCCCAUGUGUGAAGACAAACUUGCUUACACUGUAUUAGAAAUUGGAAUUUAUUGCAGUUUAUAUUAGAAAUAUAAUCUUGGUCUCUAUGUCUUCAAAAAAUAACUAACAUGAUUUAAUUGUAAUGGGUGGUACUUAAGAGACAGAAACUAAUAUGGAUGCUGGACGACUGAAACUAACUAGAAGAUUCAUCUAGAUAUCCUAGAAGACAAUAAUGAAGUAAAAUAAAAUAAAUGGGUAGUUUCAAGAACUGCACUUUAGUGGUGCCACCCUGCUAGGACACUUUUAACUGCUUUAUUAUUAAUAUUACAUAUGCUAAUUCUCAAUUUCUUGGUUUGCAGAACUUAUUCUUGUAUGGGUAUGGAGCUAUGUUCAAUUUUCUUGGAAUACUCGUGAAUGCCAUUGUCAAAGGUAAUAAAAUGAAUCUCUUAUAAGUUGAAAUCUCGUAUUCACUUUUAAUCCAUUUGAAAUUGAGCCAAAUAAAAAUUCUAGUGAGCAAACAUAAAUUCAAAUGGCGCUUAGGAUUUGUGUCACAGACUAAAAAUACAGAAUGACCCACAGGAUGAAGUUCCAUCAUGUGGUCGUCUGAGGGUUAGACAUAUGCAAAUUUACCCCAUUCUGUGAGGAUUAUACGAUAGAAAUCUUUACAUUACACCAGGACUCGCCCUCUGUGUUUUAGAAUACGACAAGAGAAAAGAAAAUCAGGAAUUUGAUAUCAGCUAAUAUAAACUAACUCAGAUCUUGAUACACACAUAUAACUGUUGGGUUUAACUGACCUAAUUGAUUUCUAGUUCAAAAUAGAUCUACGUAAAUGAAAAUGUGAUGGAGUUGGCAUAUUAGUAGAUUUUGUGCUCUUGAGACAUUGCAUUGUAUUCAAGUGUUUUUGUCAUAAAUCAUUGUGUCUUCAUAGGAAGGCAACAAAAAAUCUUUUAUAUACACACAACUUCCAGGGAUUCGUAUAAAUAAACUCCUUUAGAAGAUAGUUUAAUUGUUGAUGGUUUAUUUAGUUUGUUGAUUAUGUCAGGCUUUUCAAUUUCCACCCAUGGCAUAUACAUUUCCAUUUCCAUUUUCUGAUGCUUAUAUUUAAUAAUGCUAUUUCAAAUGUUCCAAGUCCUAGCAGCUUUGAUAUCCUAGAAGGCCAUUCAAAAGCCACUAUGUUAUUGAUUGCAAACAAUGAUGCCUAAAGGAUAUUAUCAUCUUUCUUCUUCAAAUAUGCAGGUCAAUAAUUCAGACUUACAUUUUUAUUUUUUUCCAUUACAUUGCCUUCUAUUUUGUUGAUGUCAUGUUAUUUAUCUCUUCACUCAAUAACCUAUUUAAUAUGUUGCAGAUACAAUUUUGAAGAUGAGAUUGAUGAUCAUGAUGCUGGUGAUUUUGAUGAUGAGAUUGGUGAUAAUGAUGGUCGUGAUCAUAAUGAUGAAGAGUUAGAUGGAUAGUGAUAAGUUAAUCCGAAGAACCAAUAUUUUGCAAUUUGUUAUGACUUAAUAUAUUUUAUUAAAAUUAAAAUUGUAUCUGUAUUAUUUUGAAUACUUACAAAUAUUAUUUAAAUAUAUUAUAUUCUUUAGUUAUAUGCGGUGAUAUGAUUAAUGCUUUUAUAUUAUUUUGGUGUAUGAACUUUUUAGAUAUUGAAAUCAAAUUAAAAAAUUAUUUUUAUUGUCGUUUUGGACAAUAAAGUAAUGAAUAUAAAAGAAAAAAAAGUAGUAACAUUUUGAGACAUAAUUGGUGACCAAAUUUUUAAUAAAAAUAACAAUUUAUGUCACAAAUUUCGUCUCUAAAUCAGUCACGAAUGACAUAGUAAAUUAAUUCAAAGUGGUUGCUAAAUCAGUCACUAAUUAAGUCUAAAAAAUCGGUCACAAAAUUAGUCACAAAAUUCAGUCACAAAAUCGAUCACAAAAUUCGGUCACUAAAUCAGUCACUAUAUUCGGUCACUAAAUUCAGUCACUAAAUCGGUCACUAAAUUCAGUCACUAAAUCGGUCACUAAAUUCGGUCGCUGAUUUGGUCGCAACAGCUAGCGACUAGCAGUUUACCUACCGAUUUAAAUUGGUCGCUAAAUCGGUCGCUAUUGGAUUUAGUGACCGAUUUUCUUCAUUUAGUGACUGAAAAAUUGGUCUCUAAAAGCGUUUUUUCUAGUAGUGCUAGGUAACAAAGUGUUGGCCUUGUGACUGAGUGCUAUGUCGACGUCUUAGUCGUAGUUGCAGUCGUCGCGCGCGCAUCUCAAUUUACCCACAUCCGAUUGAAAAAUUUCGAUUCUGUUGCUACGCCCCUCAACUAGCAAGCCAACACACGCAUGUGCGCCACAUCCACGUCUUAGUCGUAGUUUUCGCGCUUGCUACUUGAUUUACCCACAUCCGAUUGAAAAAUUUGGAUUCCGUUGCUACGCCCCUCAACUAGCAAGCCAACAUACGUGCGCACGCCACGUCCACGUCUUAGUCGUAGACGUGGUCAACAAGCGAAUGACUGGCACACGCAUCGCUAGUCAGCAGUAGGGGGCCUUGGCCCCCCAGAGGCACGUGUCGUCGGUGGACCUCGUAAGGCAGAUGAGCCUUGCGGGACACCUUGAAACGCAAUUCCUAUUGAGCGGCAGGUAGAAUCUUUUGCAGACGACUUAAUUACGCGACGGGGUAUUGUAAGUGGCAGAGUGGCCUUG